rnacentral:lncRNA from 1 species
GGUCUCUUGCUCUCUUUGCUUAUGAAUCGGACACUUUCCCUUUCUUUAGUCCUUACACGGUUCCACCUCGCUUUGACUUCAUACUUUGAUGGUGUUUGUAGGUAUGAAGAGUGGUCAUAAUGUUACUUAAAGGAGGCCUCAACUUGCACCAAAUACAUUGGCAUGUGCAACAGCAACUUAUGUAGGUGAGUAGGUAUUUAUGCUUAGUUUUGACUUGAGUACAAAAAAGAGCUUGCUGACAUAUACAAGAGAAUAGGCUACCCAUUCUUGAAUUGAAUCAGAUUGGUAGACUAAACCAUAGUGGUGUACUCUUUGCUGCUGAGUUAUUACAAUCCAACUGAAAAUAAGGGGAAAACAAACAUGAUCCUGCCAUUUAAAUUAUCUCAUAUUUGUGGAGAAAAGUUGCACAGUUAGCUAUUGCAAAAUACCAUCGACCCAGUUUUUGUUCAAUAGACGUCCCUUCUUUGAAUGUAGCUUGAACCUACGCAAGGGCAUGGUAGCAUGCUCAUUUUUUUUACUAAGGUGGUUACACUUUCCUACUUUUUGCUGAAAGAGAGUCAAUUCAGUCAUGAGCUAUAGCGGCGUUUCUGUUUACUGAAUUUCGUUUUGCAGUUCCCUUCUCUUGAAUGUUUAUUCAAAUGUUCCUAAUGUUUUUUUCAGGUUUCUAAAAACUAAUAAAUGCUGCUCUCAAAUCUGUUAGGAGGCUGAAGGUAGUAGCUUACUGAACUCUCAUUUCCGGAAAAAUCUGGAGAUGUCUUGGUAUGGAGUUUCAUGAUCAACUUGCUCCGGCAUAGUUAGUCUUUCUAGACUAAUUGUUUGUCAGUAUCUAUUCUAUACAUGUGUUUGACUGGUUGUGCAAACAUGCAUGCAUUGUUCUGUGUGGAAAUUGCUUUACCCGGUCUAUUCUAUAGCAAUGUUUCCAGUGGCUGUUUAGCACAUAUAUUUAGAUAGUUGCAUACGCAUGCUUGGUUCUGCCAGAAAAUUAUCUUCCCUGAUAUGUUUUCAGAUGCUAUUUGGUAUACAUGUUUGUCUUUGUCAUCUUUAUGUUGAGUUGUGGGUUCCAAAGGUAUUUAUGAUGAUCGUUUGCAUGGUGGAUCAUGUCAGCGAUGUGCGUUGCAUAUUCAUGAUUCAAACUCUUUGUUGGGUAUAUAUCUAUAUGAAGUUGUUUCUGAAUGGCCCAUGAUUCGUUUUUUAUUAGUAUUUUAGUUUAAGCAUUUCUCCAGACAAUCUUGAUAUCCAGCUGUAUAUAUCCAGUCAUGUUUUUUUACUCUGACCGAUUUCUUUUUUGUUUUGUUUUACAGUUUGUACAAUCUCUAAAGAUGGUGCUCCAUUGUUCUGUUAAUCAAGAUUUGUUCCCUCCUUUCUUACUAGCUGAUACAUGAUGACCGUUUGCAUGGGGGGUUAUGUUAACUAUAUUCUAUUCAUGAUUCAAAUUGUUUGUUAGGUAAUUUAGUUUAGACAUUGUGUCCUGAGAAUCUUGAUAUCUAGCUGUAUCGGUAUAGUAUAGUUUGUGAUUUUUCCCUCUGAAUUUAUAUAUCCACUCAGGUUGGGAUGGGUUAUGAGUAUUCUUAGUGUGGAAACAGCGGCAGUGCUGCACUUUCAUCAGAUGAUGAUAUGCCAACCUUGCGCCAUUUGGCUCUAUGUUACCCGAAUAAGAUAACAAAAUACACAUGCUCAAGUAUAUAUUUUCAAAGAUGAAUUAUCCUUCAUUUUCCAUUUU